rnacentral:misc_RNA from 1 species
UACGGAAGGUGCGAGCGUUAAUCGGAAUUACUGGGCGUAAAGCGCACGCAGGCGGUCUGUCAAGUCGGAUGUGAAAUCCCCGGGCUCAACCUGGGAACUGCAUCCGAAACUGGCAGGCUGGAGUCUUGUAGAGGGGGGUAGAAUUCCAGGUGUAGCGGUGAAAUGCGUAGAGAGCUGGAGGAAUACCGGUGGCGAAGGCGGCCCCCCGGACAAAGACUGACGCUCAGGUGCGGAAGCGGUGGGAGCAAACAGG